GGUCCCCCCGGGCGUCGAUGAAUGUGGGGUACCAUUCCUUGAUGAUGUGGUCAUGUUUGUAGUCGGCCUUAUUGUCCUUUAGAUGUUCCACGGUGUUCCGCUCGCUCUUCUCAUAGGCCUCCCGGGGCUUCCGGACAGACACCUUGCAUUCUCGGACCUUGUUGACGAUGAAUUCUUGGAUGAGAAACCUGAUAUCUUCCAUGAGGCAGUCAUCAUAAAGAAGUCUGAAUAUCUUGGUUGAGAGCUAGACUUUGGAAACAGAGAGACCCUGUAUAAUAACAGACUAAGAAGUAAGGAAGACAAGCCCAGCCAGUCCCACAACUAUUUCAUUAAUACCAGGUAAAGCAACAGACCUGCCAGUGAAGCAUCUUGGAUCCUUUAGCUUUAGAAAAUCAGCUCUGUUACAUCUGCCGCCUCCUGUGAGCACAAGGCACAGAAAGUAGACCCUGUAACCCUCAGAGGGCCUGAAGGAAAGCGAUGCUGGUGUGACCUGCCCAAGAGGAUGGUGCCCAAGGCAGAGCAUUCUAGACCCUCAUAGGCAACAGAGCCAGAAUCUAUUGAAAUAUUAUUUUUUUCCGUGCAUCCACAUUUGUAAGAACACUGAUGGAUAUGAUGGUUUCUGUUUCAUCAAUAUUAAUUUAAAGCUGCUGAAUAUCCUUGGAGAGCUAAUCAAGAAGGAAUGGAAGUGAGGAUACAGAGAAUGCACAAACGGGAACCAUGUGAGGACAGUGAGAAGGUGGCCAUCUACAAGACGAGAUGAGAGGCCUCAGAAGAAAGAAACCAAAUCUACAGACACCUUGAUCUUCAACUUCUGGCAUCCAAAACUAACAAUACCAUCAGAUGGAAGACAUCUGGAGUAUAUUUUCAAGCUCUAUAUUACAGAUCUCUUAAAAAUCAGAAAGUAAUUAGGCAAAGGAGAUAAAGAAGUAAAAGCAUGUUUAUUAAAAAAAAUUUACCAAGAAUAUGGAAACAUUAUAAGAACAAUCUGUUCUGUAAAAGAAGUACUACCUUGAAAUAAUAAACUAUAAGAGACUGAAUUUUAA
ensembl:lncRNA novel transcript